rnacentral:lncRNA from 1 species
UUGACCGACUUACUAUUGGUAUUGAGAUCCAUGGUUUUUCUUAGAUGGUGGAGAAUGAGAAUCUAGUGUUUGAAUUGGGAGACAUGGAUACGGCGAUGAGGGUUAGUCCAGGUUUGUCGGCAUAUUCUUGUUAUCCGAAAACGGGAUUGGAUUCGCUGAUUGAGUUUUCAAAGGAGAGUGCCGAUGGAGAUGUGGAGGGAUUAUGAAAUUCGUUUUGUGCCUGAAGUUAGGAAGAGGUUGUUGGAACGUGAUGCUAAUGGGAAGGUUAUGGAAGGGUGUUGUUAAAUUUUGUUUGAGCGAGUCUGGUUUUUGGUUUAGGGUGUGCACGUUUGGGUUUUUUGUCAAUUACGC